rnacentral:rRNA from 1 species
UACGAAGGGUGCGAGCGUUGUCCGGAAUUAUUGGGCGUAAAGGGCGCGUAGGCGGCCUGGCAAGUGGAUGGUGAAAUCCCUCGGCUUAACCGAGGAACUGCCAUCCAGACUGCUUGGCUUGAGACCGGGAGAGGUGAGUGGAAUUCCCAGUGUAGCGGUGAAAUGCGUAGAUAUUGGGAGGAACACCAGUGGCGAAGGCGGCUCACUGGACCGGUACUGACGCUGAGGCGCGAAAGCGUGGGGAGCAAACGGG